UUGGGAAAGUGUCCUCUGACAAAGCUGAUCAAAACCUUCUCCGGUGAAGCUAUGGGGUGAAACUCAAGCUCUCAACUAUGUGUGUGUUGCAUCUUAAAACAGAAACCACAGAACAGCUUGAGUAUUGGUCAACUGUUAACAGCAUUGGAGAGCCUAAAGAUGUAGUCAAGAAAAAGUUAUGUUACAUGGAGGACUGGAAGCCAUUUCAAUAUUGGAAAAGUGUUACCUGUGUUAUGAUGAUUUAGACCAGGUAUCAAAAUGUCGACAUUUUGGCUACUGCUCAGUGCUCUGCAAACACUGUAGAGGCUGUAAGACAUGUCAUGGACAACAGUGACUUCAAAGCUAUGACCAGAGGAAAGGAUACAGUAGGCAUUCUAACUGCAUCCACACUUUGAAAUUCAUCCAACAACUGCAGGAUAAGAUGAUGGAAGAUCUGGACAAGGGAAUCCAUGCUUUGAUAAGAGAAAUUGAUGUUAGAAUCACCUCUAUGAAGCUGGCCCUGAAUGAAUCCCUUUGCUACAACUCAUACAAUAAGCUCAAGAGAUAAAUUCUAACAGCCAAGACCAAAGAGAACUACUUGAAAAGGCUUCUGAACAAGCUGAAGUAUCUUGUUGAGCUGGGGAUGAUCUAGUCUUCCUCAGAUGAAAAGAAUUUAUGCUACUUGCACAACACUCAGAACAACAGAUGAUUUGCCUACAAUCCAUGUGAUGUCCUGUGUAUCAUGAAAACCAAGUUCCCCCAAAC